GGUUAAAUACCCGUCCCAGCGUUUCAGAUACAGGCGGUGUGAGCCUAAAGCCGGCCCCUCACAGCUGUGCAGCGCUGGCUCCGAGCUGGCUCUGCCCCGGGCGCUGUCCUAAAGGUUAGCUGCUCCGCUGUGCGAGCGUGCAGAUGAAUGCCAUCAGUAGAAAUGGGCAUUUAAACGUUAACGGAUGCACUUUCAUCUUUUCUGUACAUUUCAGUUGUUAGAGUGUGUGAUCUAUUUUUAAAUGUAUUCACAUAUAAUGGUUAUUCUCUUGAAUCUGGUGUUUCUGAGCCUGUUUUACCGAAAUGCUUUCUAGAACCUGGAAUGCCGUUUUAUUAGGAAGCGCAUCCGGGUCGAAGAACCAGGGGCGCUGUCCAUGGUGUUAAAACACCUCGCUCAAACCUCAGAAAGUUUUUCUGCUUUUCAGAGGGGCUGUGUGUGAGCAGCAGGGAACAACUUUCAGCUUAUAAUUCGGGACUUACAGGAAAGAAAAGAAAAUGUCUACUCUCCUAAGAGAAAUCUGAUCAUCUGCCGGCAUAAAUGUUGGUUGACCUUGACUCUUCUCUUUGGAUGCCUGAAAACCUGAACAAGGCAGUUGGGGCCAGGACAGCCCAGAAAGGCAGGUUUGAGUGGGGGCCCCGGCCUUUACAGAAACAUUCUAGUGUCCAUGGUGAUCCUACCGGAAAGCCAGUGUCAAGAACCACUGAGCCCCAGGACGCAGGUUUCCUUGCCUCUAUCAAGAUACAGGCCCCGCUACAGUACUGCUGAGAGCAAGAAAUAGAAGCACCUGCAAGACAGUGCAGCCCUCACAAGCUAGACAUUUGAUGUCAUGGGAAAACUUGCACCCAGGCAGUUGAGUGCACUUGUUCAGCAGACCUGUUGGGGAUAAUGGGAAGAGGGAGCAUAUCUGGCUGACCUUGAGGACAGAAAGGAACUCUCAUCAAAAUUACUUGACCAAGAGAACAUUCCAGGUGCCCAACUCUGCCAAACAUAAUAGCAAAUAUGUACCAGGAAAGUAAGAAAAACUUAUGGGUUAAAACUGUACCGAGUCCUCCCUUCAUUUCCAUCUAGCUUGACCCAGACCCCUUACAGUGGUCCCGCUGAUCUGGUGUGGCUUCCUCUCCCACCCUCAACUUUGGAGCACUGUCAAUGCCUCCAGAAGGCCAGGCUCCUCCUGCCUGGAGCACCAGGCUAUUAUUUCCUGUCUGGAAGCCCUGGAGGGAUUGGCUCCUUCCCACCUUUCUCACCUGCCCUGCCUCACCUUUGCUAUGAUGUCACCUUCUUGGAGAGGCCUUCUUUGGCCCCCCGUCCCUCCCAGCACUGUGCCCCAUGAGGUUCACACGUGCAUGAAUUGGAUUCUAAUUGCACAUUUGUUUUUGUGGGUACUGGCUCAUUGGCUUUCUCAUCUAGGAGUUGCCCAUCAAUAGGGGCUUCCACUGCCUACCCAGCAAGUGGUUCCAUAAAUAACUGUAGCGUGGUGGUGAGGCAGUUAAUUUCCUUCAGAUAUAAGGGCUCAGACAGUAAAUGUACACUCAAAAAUACUCCUGUUGGGUUAGUCAGUUUUCUGGUUCCUGAACACAUCUUGACUGAUUUUUCAAAGGCACACAUGGCAGCCAUCUGACCUGCUUCACACUUGCGAUGGGAAUUUCAUCCCUUUAGGAAAUGGGAAAUGCCAUUGUUACCUGUUUGAGUUUUAGUGACUUUCCUCUAACAUGCUCAACUUUAAGCUGCUUUAUCACACUACAUAUUAAAUGUGUUUGUUUUGGAGAGGUUUUUAUGGUACCCCAGGAGAUAAUUUCUGAUGACCCCGUCAGAAACACAAGAAUGGGGAGAAGGGUGAGCAGCCAGGGUUAGAAAUUCAUGUUUUUAUAAUCUAUGCUAUAGAAAAAGUCUUCAGGAUCAGUACUUGUCUUUCCUGAGACUACUUGCAACAGUUCAAAACUGUCACAAAUAGCCUUGAGACAUGUGUGGUUUGAUCUUUAUUUAUGGAGUUGUUGAAGGAUUCUCAAAAUUGCCCAAGGGUCACCUCCUCCCAGAAGCCUUCCCUGACUUUCCUGGAGUGUGGGAAGGUCAUUCCUUCCUCCCCGAAAGCCAACCUCAGAGCUGCCAAUGCCCUCCCUCCAGGCUAAUGUAUCUCCACAAUCACCCCUCCACCCUCAGUCAAGGUUUUCCUGGCAGCCACCCCCUUCAGACUGUGGGCUCUGUUGGAGUAGAACCCACAGUUUCCUCAUCCUCGCAUCUCCAGGGCCCACAGCAGGAGUGGCAUGCACAAAGAUGGAGUGAAUCCACCUUGAAAGGAGGGGCAGCACAGGCACAGGGGCCUGGAGACAGGAACAUGAGCAUCUGAACUGUCAGCUUCUAGCUUCUCUCCUAUCCCACCCCAACACAUGGCACAGGUGGAAACCCAAGAACCCGUGGGGUUCACCUGGCCCUGGGGGUUCACCUGGCCCUGGAGUCAUGCUCUGAACACAGUGGAGCAGGCACCGGCUGUGCAUCCCACACUGUCUGCUCUGCGGGAAGAAGCACAUCUGCUUCCCCAGGACCACCUGCAACAGCCUCUGCACAGUGUCUAUGUCUCUGCCUGCCCCAGAGGGUCUUUUUGAGAUGGAGUCUUGCUCUGUCGCCCAGGCUGGAGUGCAGUGGCACAAUCUCGGCUCACUGCAACCUCCGCCUCCCCGGUUCAAGUGAUUCUCCUGCCUCAGCCUCCUGAGUAGCUGGUAUUACAAGCGCGAGCCACCACGCCCGGCUAAUUAUUGUAUUUUUAGUAGAGACGGCAUUUCACCAUGUUGGCCAGGCUGGCCUCAAACCAGGAGGGUCUUAAACCCUUUCUAUGAAUUACUCUCCAUUGAAAUUAGUAAUUUUUUGUGUAUGUCGUGAUAUUUUCCAGUUCCAAGUCUUCUGAAAAGGGUAGGACGCUAACUUGUAAAGGUUACUGUGAUGGUAAAUUUUAGGUGUCAACUUGGCUAGGACACAGUGCCUCUUUGUUUGGUCAAACACUAAUGUAGGUGUUGCUGUGAAGGUAUUCUGUAGAUGUCAGUAAAGGAGAUUACCCCGGAUAAUGUGGUGGGCCUCAUCCAAUCAGUUGAAGGUCACAGGAGCAAAAACUGAAGUUUCCCAGAGAAGAAAUUCUGCCUCAGGAUGGCAGCACCAUCUCCCGCCUGGGUUUCUAGCCUGCUGGCCUGUAGAUUCCAGACUUGCCAGCCCCCACAGCUCAGUGAGAGGGGAUCUAAUACCUGGGGAUAAAUCUCCUCUGUGAGAGUGAAUCGAGGCAGAAUCAAGAGAAGCAAGUGAGACCCGCUGUGAGUGGGUACCUCACAUCCCACACAUCUACCUCCACCUAUGAGGAGCCACAGGACCUGCCUGCCUGCCUGGCCGCUCUCCGCAAGCGCACAGAGCCUUUCUGUGCUUAGGCCACACGUGCCCAGCAUAUGGUGCAAAUAACCAUUUAUCGAGUGCACUGAACUGAGGCCUCAAGGCAAGCUUACCGCUGUGCAGGGUUAAUGACAAACCCAAGGUGGGCAGCCUGGAGCUAGCCACAGUCCAAGCCAAAAGCUCCAGUGACAUCUGCUCUGUGUCCAAAAGGUAGAAGGAAAGGAAAGAACACAGUGUACCAACUUAUCUCAAAUAAAAUAAUUACUUAUUACCAACAUCAAGUAUGAAAUGUGAAGCUAUUCUGUGCCAGUUACAGAAAAGCUAUAUUACUAUGUACAUUACAGAAUAAAUUACUAAGUUUUGACUAGAGUAUAAAAUUUAUUUGUCUUAAUUUCUAGUAAGUUUUAUUUGUUGAAAUAUAGACUCAUAACAUUCAAGACAGUGCUGGGUGUCGACUUCUGAACACAGCACACACUGGAUAGUGUAUGACACGCUGUGCAACACAACAGGGCAAAAAAUUGGAAACCUGCUUUUCUGCAGUAACUUUUCAUUUGCCCUAGACAAGGAACAUUGCACGGCUUAUUUUGACAAUGAUGCUCUUGUAUUCAUUGAAUAAGUCAUCUAAUCUGUAAGAAUCUACGUUUUAUUCCCAU
rnacentral:lncRNA from 1 species